GACGAACGCUGGCGGCGUGCCUAAUACAUGCAAGUUGAGCGCUGAAGGUUGGUACUUGUACCAACUGGAUGAGCAGCGAACGGGUGAGUAACGCGUGGGGAAUCUGCCUUUGAGCGGGGGACAACAUUUGGAAACGAAUGCUAAUACCGCAUAAAAACUUUAAACACAAGUUUUAAGUUUGAAAGAUGCAAUUGCAUCACUCAAAGAUGAUCCCGCGUUGUAUUAGCUAGUUGGUGAGGUAAAGGCUCACCAAGGCGAUGAUACAUAGCCGACCUGAGAGGGUGAUCGGCCACAUUGGGACUGAGACACGGCCCAAACUCCUACGGGAGGCAGCAGUAGGGAAUCUUCGGCAAUAGACGAAAGUCUGACCGAGCAACGCCGCGUGAGUGAAGAAGGUUUUCGGAUCGUAAAACUCUGUUGGUAAAGAAGAACGUUGGUGAGAGUGGAAAGCUCAUCAAGUGACGGUAACUACCCAGAAAGGGACGGCUAACUACGUG
rnacentral:rRNA from 1 species